UAUGGAACUUUCAGCUGCAUUCCUCAAUCCCUGGAGAGCUCAGAAGCACUGGAGAUGGAGUUGAUCACCAAUUGCCAAUGAUUCAACCAAUAAUGCCUCUGUUAUGGAACCUCCAUCCAAAUGCUAAACUAAAGAAUUUGGAGAACUUCUGGGUUGGUCUCAUUGUUCCACUUUGUCUAAACACCAAUCCCAAGAUUAAUUACUUCAUGGAGCAACAUGGAGCUUCAUCCAUCAGAUCAGGGCUUCAAGCAGCAGGAUGGAAAAGGAGACAUUUUCAGACCUCAGACUUCAAUGCUUCAACAUAUACUCCUACACACAUCUAAAUGUCAAAAAAAUUUUCUUUUUUUUUUUUUUUAUUAAUCACAACUUUUAUAACAGAGAAGUCUCAACCUAGCAGACAAGAAAAGCCAUCAGAAAGUACUCUAUUGUGAUGAGAAACAAGAUUGAUUUCUUGAAGAUUGUCAUGCUACAAAAUAAAAGCUAUGAGUAGAAUUCAGGGAACAUUUACAGGACAAGACAGAAAUGAUCAGAUAAGGAAAACAUGGAAGAAAAGAUGGAAGUGCAUAAAGGUCAGAUUCAGGAAGUCCAAACUUAAGGCAAUAAAACAUUUUAGAAAGAAGAAACAGAAUAGAUAUAAGAAAAAAAAGGAAGAAAUUAUUCUCAACUCUACAGAGAUUGUUUAUUUUAAAAACCAAGAGUACAUACCAUGCUCUGGCCAAACUUAAAAUCACACUUAAAAUGGCCCUAGUGAAAUUGGAAACUUCAAAGAUACAGAAGAAUUCUGCAAACAUCGAGGGGGCAAAAAGCACAUUCUAAGAAAAGAAAUGCAAAGCAUGACUCUACAUUUUUGCAACCCUAAAGGAUACAAGAAAAGGGGGCAACUCUAGCUUUAUGAGGGGAAAUGUUUUGACCCAAGAAUUCUAUUUCCAGCCAAUUUGUCAUUCAUUUAUGAAGACAAGAGCAAGCAACUCUUUAAUGUGCAAGGGCUUAAUCCUAUGCCACCCAGUUUGUGUUCUUUCCAGGCAUGCAUCAUCAUUUGCUUCUAAGCAAGGAGAAUUAUUCAAAGCAAUUCAACUAAGAAUCACAUUCCCGUGGCUCAGUUUCCGAGAAGAAAAAUUGUCAUAGAGAAGAUUUUACCACCAACAAGGCCUAGGAGAAAUUUCUCCUGAGGAUCUUCAUAGAAUGCUGAAUGAUUGAGUCAAUUACAUCUUAAUACUACCCCCCCCCC